CCCUAAACGCAGUGUCUCCUUAGUUUAAUCUUCGUGACCAACCACGCAAUGGGCAAGCCUUCACCACCGUUUUACAGAUGAACAAACAGAGGCUCACAGAGGCCGAGGCACUUGUCCACAGCCACAGGGGGAGGCUACUGAGGCUCAGAGGUGAAGGUGUCUUCCCGAGCUUACCCAGCUCAUGUGAGUGGGUGCAGAGUGAUAGCCAAGUCUGUCUUCAGAGCUGCAGCCUUGACCGCUACCCACUUCCCUGAGGAACUUUUCUGCAACUCCCGUCUUUACUCCUCACCGUCUGAAGGACUGAAGCUAAACUCCCUAACCUGCUAUUCAAGGCUCUCUCCAGCCCACACUGGGUCCCUCUGCCUUGAAUGCCUCACUGAGACCUACUCCUCCAUAAUCAUCAAAGUCCAGUCUGAGGCCUCCUUGACACCUUCCCCAUUCCCCAACACACAAGCCUUUUCAGCUGCUCCAUCUGGAGCACCCUGUACCCCUGCAUCUCUCUGGACCUUUGCCCAUAUUGCUCCUUCCCUUCCAUGCAGCAGAAUCCACCUCUCAUCCUUUUAGGCCUAGCCAAACUCCACCUUUUCCAGGACAUCAUCUGGAUAGCUUGGGACACACUGAUGCUCUUCUCUGUGUGUGUAGCACACUGUGAAUGUAGCUCCUGGCACCACUGAAAUAGGGAUACUCCCAGUUUUCUGGAAAGAAUCUCAUAUUUGAUAUUUAAAAUUAAACAUCGUAG
rnacentral:lncRNA from 10 species